GAAGUAAAUAUAAGGGAACACGAGUAUUUUCAUAAAGUGCCUUGGCCCAAAAUUACUUAGGCGUUUUCGGCAGAAUAAACUGAAAACGAAGUUCGGAUCUUUCUUGAAAUCAAUGUGGAAGCCGGUUAACAGAACCGUACGUAAGUGGAGAAAAUAAGAGUUAUCCGAGUAUGCUCGGUUGGAGUAAGAUGUUUUUGUCAAUAUCUGAAGAGAUCUAUUUCUGAUUUGAUCCGAGUUUGUCUUGGAUCUUUGAAGAAAUUUGGAGAUUCGUCCCCUUUGUAUAUAGUUUUUUACUUUUUUCUUCAUAUAUUUGUGUGGUUUAUUUAUCGUUAUCGUUCUCUUUAAUUUGUUGAGCAGUUGAGAAAUUCAAAAACAGAAAUUAAAAAGCUAUCAAAAUUAAGAAAUUUGACGACAGAUCACGUUUUUUUUUCUAAU